rnacentral:rRNA from 1 species
AUUGAACGCUGGCGGCAUGCUUUACACAUGCAAGUCGAACGGCAGCGCGGGCUUCGCUCUGUCGGCGAGUGGCGAACGGGUGAGUAAUGCAUCGGAAAGUGCCCAUUAGUGGGGGAUAGCGCGUCGAAAACUGGAUUAAUUCCGCAUACGACCUGAGGACGAAAGCGGGGGAGCUAGAAGGCUUGCGCUAUUGGGGCUGCCGUUGCCGGAUUAGCUAGUUGGUGGGGGAAAGUGUUACCAAGGCGACGAUCCGUAGAUGAUCUGAGAGGACGACCAGCCACACUGGGACUGAGACACGGCCCAGACUCCUACGGGAGGCAGCAGUGGGGAAUUUUGGACAAUGGGGGCAACCCUGAUCCAGCCAUGCCGCGUGCGGGAAGAAGGCCUUCGGGUUGUAAACCGCUUUUGUUCGGGAAGAAAUCCUCUGGGCUAAUACCCCGGGGGGAUGACGGUACCGGAAGAAUAAGCACCGGCUAACUACGUG